rnacentral:rRNA from 1 species
UCUUGGUCAUUUAGAGGAAGUAAAAGUCGUAACAAGGUUUCCGUAGGUGAACCUGCGGAAGGAUCAUUAAAGAAAUUUAAUAAUUUUGAAAAUGGAUUUUUUUGUUUUGGCAAGAGCAUGAGAGCUUUUACUGGGCAAGAAGACAAGAGAUGGAGAGUCCAGCCGGGCCUGCGCUUAAGUGCGCGGUCUUGCUAGGCUUGUAAGUUUCUUUCUUGCUAUUCCAAACGGUGAGAGAUUUCUGUGCUUUUGUUAUAGGACAAUUAAAGCCGUUUCAAUACAACACACUGUGGAGUUUUCAUAUCUUUGCAACUUUUUCUUUGGGCAUUCGAGCAAUCGGGGCCCAGAGGUAACAAACACAAACAAUUUUAUCUAUUCAUUAAAUUUUUGUCAAAAACAAGAAUUUUCGUAACUGGAAAUUUUAAAAUAUUAAAAACUUUCAACAACGGAUCUCUUGGUUCUCGCAUCGAUGAAGAACGCAGCGAAAUGCGAUACGUAAUGUGAAUUGCAGAAUUCCGUGAAUCAUCGAAUCUUUGAACGCACAUUGCGCCCCUUGGUAUUCCAGGGGGCAUGCCUGUUUGAGCGUCAUUUCCUUCUCAAACAUUCUGUUUGGUAGUGAGUGAUACUCUUUGGAGUUAACUUGAAAUUGCUGGCCUUUUCAUUGGAUGUUUUUUUUCCAAAGAGAGGUUUCUCUGCGUGCUUGAGGUAUAAUGCAAGUACGGUCGUUUUAGGUUUUACCAACUGCGGCUAAUCUUUUUUUAUACUGAGCGUAUUGGAACGUUAUCGAUAAGAAGAGAGCGUCUAGGCGAACAAUGUUCUUAAAGUUUGACCUCAAAUCAGGUAGGAGUACCCGCUGAACUUAAGCAUAUCAAUAAGCGGAG